CCUACGGGUGGCAGCAGUGGGGAAUAUUGGACAAUGGGGGCAACCCUGAUCCAGCCAUGCCGCGUGUGUGAAGAAGGCCCUCGGGUUGUAAAGCACUUUCAGUGAGGAAGAACGCCUGGUGGUUAAUACCCAUCAGGAAAGACAUCACUCACAGAAGAAGCACCGGCUAACUCCGUGCCAGCAGCCGCGGUAAUACGGAGGGUGCGAGCGUUAAUCGGAAUUACUGGGCGUAAAGCGCGCGUAGGUGGCUUGAUAAGCCGGUUGUGAAAGCCCCGGGCUCAACCUGGGAACGGCAUCCGGAACUGUCCAGCUAGAGUGCAGGAGAGGAAGGUAGAAUUCCCGGUGUAGCGGUGAAAUGCGUAGAGAUCGGGAGGAAUACCAGUGGCGAAGGCGGCCUUCUGGACUGACACUGACACUGAGGUGCGAAAGCGUGGGUAGCAAACAGGAUUAGAUACCCGGGUAGUC
rnacentral:rRNA from 1 species